GUGGGGAAUUUUGGACAAUGGGCGAAAGCCUGAUCCAGCAAUGCCGCGUGCAGGAUGAAGGCCCUCGGGUUGUAAACUGCUUUUGUACGAAACGAAAAGCCUGGGGCUAAUAUCCCCGGGUCAUGACGGUACCGUAAGAAUAAGCACCGGCUAACUACGUGCCAGCAGCCGCGGUAAUACGUAGGGUGCAAGCGUUAAUCGGAAUUACUGGGCGUAAAGCGUGCUCAGGCGGUUUUGUAAGACAGUGGUGAAAUCCACGGGCUCAACCUGGGAACUGCCAUUGUGACUGCAAGGCUAGAGUGCGGCAGAGGGGGAUGGAAUUCCGCGUGUAGCAGUGAAAUGCGUAGAUAUGCGGAGGAACACCGAUGGCGAAGGCAAUCCCCGGGGCCUGCACUGACGCUCAUGCACGAAAGCGUGGGGAGCAAACAGGAUUAGAAACCCCUGUAGUCC
rnacentral:rRNA from 1 species